rnacentral:rRNA from 1 species
UGGACAACUAUCCUCCGGACGGGUAUAAACCGGGAAACUGGGUAUAAUCCCCGAUAGAUCUCGGUCGCUGGAAUGCCCCGAGAUCGAAAGCUCCGGCGCCAGAGGAUGGGUCUGCGGCCUAUCAGGUAGUAGUGGGUGUAGCGUACCUACUAGCCUACGACGGGUACGGGUUGUGAGAGCAAGAGCCCGGAGAUGGAUUCUGAGACACGAAUCCAGGCCUCUACGGGGUGCAGCAAGCGCGAAAACUUUACAAUGCCGGCAACGGCGAUAAGGGGACCUCGAGUGCCAGGUUACAAAUCUGGCUGUCGUGAUGCCUAAAAAGCAUUGCAUAGCAAGGGCCGGGCAAGACCGGUGCCAG